UACGGGAGGCAGCAGUGGGGAAUAUUGCACAAUGGGCGCAAGCCUGAUGCAGCCAUGCCGCGUGUAUGAAGAAGGCCUUCGGGUUGUAAAGUACUUUCAGUCGUGAGGAAGGUGUUAAGGUUAAUAACCUUAGCAAUUGACGUUAGCGACAGAAGAAGCACCGGCUAACUCCGUGCCAGCAGCCGCGGUAAUACGGAGGGUGCGAGCGUUAAUCGGAAUUACUGGGCGUAAAGGGCACGCAGGCGGUUAAUUAAGUUGGAUGUGAAAUCCCCGGGCUUAACCUGGGAAUGGCAUUCAAGCUGGUUAGCUAGAGUCUUGUAGAGGGGGUAGAAUUCCAUGUGUAGCGGUGAAAUGCGUAGAGAUGUGGAGGAAUACCGGUGGCGAAGGCGGCCCCUGGGACAAAGGCUGACGCUCAUGUGCGAAAGCGUGGGGAGCAAACAGGGAUUAGAUACC
rnacentral:rRNA from 1 species